AGGCGGUAUAGCCAAGUGGUAAGGCACGGCUCUGCAAAAGCUUGAUCGUCGGUUCAAAUCCGUCUACCGCCUUCUA
rnacentral:tRNA from 12 species